rnacentral:RNase_P_RNA from 1 species
ACAGAAGGCUGGACGGCCGCGCGUGAGGCCUUGGCCUCUCUUGCGAGGAAAGUCCGGGCUCCCCAAAGCAACGGUGCCGGGUAACGCCCGGGCAGGGCAACCUGACGGAUAGCGCCACAGAAAACAAACCGCCUUGCAUGUCGAGGUAAGGAUGAAACGGUGGGGUAAGAGCCCACCGCGUGUCUGGCAACAGAUGCGGCAUGGCAAGCCCCACUGGGAGCAAUGCCAAAUAGGGUCCCCGCGCGGGCAGGUCGGCUUUUGUCGAUACCGCCGCUAGGUAAGCUUUGACCGAGAGGGACCGGGUUGGCAGCUAGAGGCGUCUGGCAACAGGCGUCGCAGAUGAAUGGUCGUCGAAGGGGCGUAAGCCCCGGGACAGAACCCGGCUUACAGGCCUUCUGUGCAU